rnacentral:piRNA from 1 species
UUCUAUGUUGGGUGGGUGCAGAACUAAC